AGGGUUUGAUCAUGGCUCAGGAUGAACGCUAGCGGCAGGCCUAACACAUGCAAGUCGAGGGGUAACAGAGGGUGCUUGCACCUUGCUGACGACCGGCGCACGGGUGCGUAACGCGUAUGCAACCUACCUUCCACAGGGGGAUAGCCCAGAGAAAUUUGGAUUAAUACCCCAUACGAUCAUUAGAUAGCAUUAUUUGAUGAAGAAAACCUUGGUGGUGGAAGAUGGGCAUGCGUCCUAUUAGUUAGUUGGUGAGGUAACGGCUCACCAAGACGUCGAUAGGUAGGGGCCCUGAGAGGGGGAAUUCCCCCACCACUGGUAUUGAGACACGGAUCAGACUCCUACGGGAGGCAGCAGUGAGGAAUAUUGGACAAUGGAGGCAACUUCUGAUCCAGGCAUGGCGCGUGCAGGAAGACUGGCCUAUGGGUUGUAAACUGCUUUUAUACAGGAAGAAUCGGUGCUACGUGUAGUGCUUUGACGGUACUGUAAGAAUAAGGAUCGGCUAACUCCGUGCCAGCAGCCGCGGUAAUACGGAGGAUCCAAGCGUUAUCCGGAAUCAUUGGGUUUAAAGGGUCCGUAGGUGGUUGAUUAAGUCAGAGGUGAAAGCCUAUCGCUCAACGAUAGAACUGCCUUUUGAUACUGAUUGACUUGAGUUAUUGUGAAGUAGUUAGAAUAUGUAAUGUAGCGGUGAAAUGCAUAGAUAUUACAUAGAAUACCGAUUGCGAAGGCAGAUUACUAACAAUAUACUGACACUGAGGGACGAAAGCGUGGGUAGCGAAACAGGAUUAGAUACCCUGGUAGUCCACGCCGUAAACGAUGGUCACUAGCUGUUUGACUAACAAUUGGUUGGUUGAGUGGCUAAGCGAAAGUGAUAAGUGACCCACCUGGGGAGUACGCUCGCAAGAGUGAAACUCAAAGGAAUUGACGGGGGCCCGCAACAAGCGGUGGAGCAUGUGGUUUAAUUCGAUGAAUACGCGAGGAACCUUACCAGGGCUUAAAUGUACGUUGCAUGAAUUUAGAGAAUAAGAUCUUUCUUCGGACCUACGUACAAGGUGCUGCAAUGGUUGUCGUCAGCUUCGUGGCCGUGGAGGUGUUCAGGUUAAGUCCUAUAACAGAGCGCAACCCCUAUCGUUAGUUGCACAACAGGAUAACGCUGGGAACUCUAACGAGACCUUCGUGGCUCAUAGACAACCUCGCCGUCGGAAGGUGGGGAUGACGUCAAAUCAUCACGGCCCUUACGUCCUGGGCUACACACGUGCUACAAUGGCCGGUACAGCGAGCAGCCACUGCGUGAGCAGGAGCGAAUCUAUAAAACCGGUCUCAGUUCGGAUCGCAGUCUGCAACUCGACUGCGUGAAGCUGGAAUCGCUAGUAAUCGGAUAUCAGCCAUGAUCCGGUGAAUACGUUCCCGGGCCUUGUACACACCGCCCGUCAAGCCAUGGAAGCUGGGGGUACCUGAAGUCGGUGACCGCAAGGAGCUGCCUAGGGUAAAACUAGUAACUGGGGCUAAGUCGUAACAAGGUAGCC
rnacentral:rRNA from 1 species